GAGAAAUUAGGUAUGUCAUAUCGACUGUGUCUAAGGAAGUUAUUUCAUUAAAAAGGUACAUCUGACAAUCACUAAAACAACUAAAAGCCUCAUCUCUGCCUGGGAGAAGAAGAAAAAAGGAGGAGAAGAGAGAAAGAUGAGAAGAGAAAAAGUGGAGAGAGCAGAGACUUCCUCUGGGGAUUGUUGAGUGCUUCGUCCAACUGGACUGAACGUCAGGAAGCUGUCUGGGUUAUAUCAGCUGUUUUGGUGAACACCUCCCACAUCUGAACUGGCUGACAGAGAGGGCACAGCAUGAUCAUAGGUAUGUUUUUAUGUGAGAGAGGAAGCCAGUCCCGUCAUCGCCACCUCACCCGCUCUUAACCCUUUCACACAUACCAUCACACUGGUGUGAUCAUUCUACAGUGGUCCCUGAAGCGUACGAUCACACCCGUGUGAUUAGAACGCUUAUUUAGAACAGCCAGUUCCGAAUGACGCAACAAUCAGCAUUUGAGCUGGCCACACUUUUUUCAGAAACUAUUUACACAAACACAGUCCUUUCAAAGUUAUGUCCAGAAUGUGAGCA
rnacentral:lncRNA from 1 species